rnacentral:rRNA from 1 species
GCGCGGGGGGGGAUUCAAGGUCUAAUCCAGCUCAAUCGAAUAAUUUUAAAUAGCUGCAGUAUAAAUAACUGUACAAAGGUAGCAUAAUAAUUUGUUUUUUAAUUAAAAACUAGAAUGAAUGAUUAAAUGAAAUAUAGACUAUAUCAAACUUAAAAAAUAAAUUUAUUAUUUAAAUAAAAAAAUUUAAAUAACUUUUAAAGACGAGAAGACCCUAAAGAAUUUAAAUAAUAAUUUAAAAUAAUAAUUUAUAAAUUAUUAUAUUAAUUGGGGAAAUUUUAAAAUUUAAAAAAUUUUUAAUUAAAUAAACAUAUAUUUUUGAAUAUAUAAAAUUUUUUAAAAAAUUAAAUUAAAUUACCUUAGGGAUAACAGCAUAAUUUUUUUAAAAAGUUCAAAUUUAUAAAAAAGUUUAUGACCUCGAUGUUGAAUAAGA